GGGCCCGCACAAGCAGUGGAUUAUGUGGUUUAAUUCGAAGCAACGCGAAGAACCUUACCAGGACUUGACAUCCUCUGACCGCCAUAGAGAUAUGGUUUCCCUUCGGGGCAGAGAGACAGGUGGUGCAUGGUUGUCGUCAGCUCGUGUCGUGAGAUGUUGGGUUAAGUCCCGCAACGAGCGCAACCCCUAUUGUCAGUUGCCAUCAUUUAGUUGGGAACUCUGGCGAGACUGCCGUGGACAACACGGAGGAAGGUGGGGACGACGUCAAAUCAUCAUGCCCCUUAUGUCCUGGGCUACACACGUAAUACAAUGGCAACGACAGAGGGCAGCUACCCCGCGAGGGCAAGCGAAUCCCUAAACGUUGUCUCAGUUCGGAUUGCAGGCUGAAACUCGCCUGCAUGAAGUCGGAAUUGCUAGUAAUGGCAGGUCAGCACACUGCCGUGAAUACGUUCCCGGGCCUU
rnacentral:rRNA from 1 species